AAUACAUGCAAACAGAGCUCCGACCGGAGACGGAAGGAGUGCUUUUAUUAGAUCAAAACCAAUCGGUGGCGGGUUCGCU
rnacentral:rRNA from 1 species